rnacentral:rRNA from 1 species
AGCGAACGCUGGCGGCAGGCUUAACACAUGCAAGUCGAGCGGGUGUAGCAAUACAUCAGCGGCAGACGGGUGAGUAACGCGUGGGAACGUACCUUUUGGCACGGAACAACCCAGGGAAACUUGGGCUAAUACCGGAAAAGCCCUAACGGGAAAAGAUUAUUCGCCGAAAGAUCGGCCCGCGUCUGAUUGGCUAGUUGGGGAGGUAAUGGCUCACCAAGGCGACGAUCAGUAGCUGGUCUGAGGGGAUGAUCAGCCACAUUGGGACUGAGACACGGCCCAAACUCCUACGGGAGGCAGCAGUGGGGAAUAUUGGACAAUGGGGGCAACCCUGAUCCAGCCAUGCCGCGUGAGUGAUGAAGGCCCUAGGGUUGUAAAGCUCUUUUGUGCGGGAAGAUAAUGACGGUACCGCAAGAAUAAGCCCCGGCUAACUUCGUGCCAGCCGCCGCCGUAACAC